rnacentral:piRNA from 1 species
UGACCUUUGGCCUUCAUGGAAGGACACACGC